GAAAUGCGAUAAGUAAUGUGAAUUGCAGAAUUCAUUGAAUCAUCGAAUCUUUGAACGCACAUUGCGCCCCCUGGUAUUCCGGGGGGCAUGCCUGUUCGAGCGUCAUUUCACCACUCAAGCCUCGCUUGGUAUUGGGCAACGCGGUCCGCCGCGUGCCUCAAAUCGACCGGCUGGGUCUUCUGUCCCCUAAGCGUUGUGGAAACUAUUCGCUAAAGGGUGCUCGGGAGGCUACGCCGUAAAACAACCCCAUUUCUAAGGUUGACCUCGGAUCAGGUAGGGAUACCCGCUGAACUUAAGC
rnacentral:misc_RNA from 1 species